rnacentral:rRNA from 1 species
GACGAACGCUGGCGGCGUGCCUAAUACAUGCAAGUAGAACGCAGUUGCGAACGGGUGAGUAACGCGUAGGUAACUGCCUCAUAGCGGGGGAUCACUAUUGGAAACGAUAGCUAAUACCGCAUACUGUGAUAUGGACCUGCGUUGAAUUAGCUAGUUGGUGAGGUACAGGCCCACCAAGGCGACGAUGCUGAGCCGACCUGAGAGGGUGAGCGGCCACACUGGGACUGGGACACGGCCCAGACUCCUACGGGAGACCGCGGUAGGGGAGAUUCGGGAAUGGACGGAAGUCUGACCGGGCAACGCCGCGUGAGUGAAGAAGGUUGUCGGAACGUAAAGCUCUGGUGUUAGGGAAGCGGUAACUAGCCAGAAAUGGACGGCUAAAUACGGGCGAGCAGCCGCGGUAAUUC